GCAGGUGAUAGCUCAGUGGGUAGAGUACUCUUAGUCUCAGGAUUGUGGGUUUGAGCCCCACUUACGGCA